GGAUAUCAAUCAAGCCUCUUUAAAUCUGUAACCUGAACGCACCAUAAACUGUUUUCAACAACACGGAAACGUCAGCUACUACUGAUUGGUUAGGGCAACGUGACCCCUCUCCCAGAUUUUAUUGGUUCUCUUAAAAAAUGUCCCGCCUCUCUCCGAAUUCCACAGCAGGACUCUCUUCCUAUUGGUCCACUGGGUUGGAAUACAGAGAACAACAAAAAAGAUAGGGUGAAGACCAUCGGGAUGGAUGCAGCAACCUUGACAUACGACACACUUCGCUUUGGAGAGUUUGAAGAUUUCCCUGAGACCUCAGAGCCUGUGUGGAUCUUGGGGAAAGAAUACAAUGCACUCACAGAGAGAGAUGAGAUUUUAUCAGAUGUCACAUCACGACUGUGGUUCACAUACAGAAAAAACUUCCCACCAAUUGGCGGGACAGGACCUACAUCAGAUACAGGAUGGGGAUGCAUGUUA